CAUAGCGACUAUCGUGGCAUAUCAAUAAGCGGAGGAAAAGAAACUAACAAGGAUUCCCUUAGUAACGGCGAGUGAAGCGGGAAGAGCUCAAAUUUGAAGUCUUCAAGGUUCUGACCUUGACGAAUUGUAGUUUAUAAGAAGUGUUUUCGGUUAGUAGGAGUAGUCAAAAGUUCUUUGGAAUAGGACAUCAUAGAGGGUGAGAAUCCCGUAUUUGGUACUAUUCCUUCCUAGCUUUGUGAUACACUUUCAACGAGUCGGAUUGUUUGGGAAUGCAGUCCAAAAUGGGUGGUAAAUUUCAUCUAAAGCUAAAUAUUGGCGAGAGACCGAUAGCGAACAAGUACCGUGAGGGAAAGAUGAAAAGAACUUUGAAAAGAGAGUUAAACAGUACGUGAAAUUGUCAAAAGGGAAGCGUCUGACACCAGUGUUGUUUUUCCGAAAAUCAAUUACAAAUGAUUGGAUGUUUGAGUAGUUAUGACUUCAUCAGCUUUCUGCACUUCUUUACUAUCUUUCUUAAUGCACUUUUCGUUUAACAAGUCAACAUCAAUUUCUUUUGUUGUAAAAGAGUCAUGAGGAAGGUGGCUUUCUUUUCGGAGAAAGUGUCUUAUAGCCUUGUGCCUCUGCAAUCGGAGAGAUUGAGGUCUGCAGCGUAGAUCCUUCGGGGUUAGAUAGCAUUUGUGCUAAGUUAUAGCCUUUCAUAGACAACUUGUUGACUAUGAUUAGUCAUUGUAGCUUACUCGCUUACUGCUAUUUUACCUACGCUUAGGAUGUUGACGAGACUGUCGAUCUC
rnacentral:rRNA from 1 species